rnacentral:rRNA from 1 species
UACGUAGGGUGCAAGCGUUGUUCGGAUUAUUGGGCGUAAAGAGCUCGUAGGCGGCUUGUCGCGUCGUCCGUGAAAACCUGGCAGCUCAACUGCAGGCUUGCGGUCGAUACGGGCAGGCUAGAGUUCGGUAGGGGAGACUGGAAUUCCUGGAUGUAGCGGUGAAAUGCGCAGAUAUCAGGAGGAACACCGGUGGCGAAGGCGGGUCUCUGGGCCGAUACUGACGCUGAGGAGCGAAAGCGUGGGGAGCGAACAGG